AGCAGACGGGUGAGUAACACGUGGGAACCUUCCAUUUAGUAAAGAAUAGCCCAGGGAAACCUGGAUUAAUACUUUAUACGCCCUUCGGGGGAAAGAUUUAUCGCUAAAUGAUGGGCCCGCGUUAGAUUAGGUAGUUGGUGGGGUAAUGGCCUACCAAGCCUACGAUCUAUAGCUGGUCUGAGAGGAUGAUCAGCCACACUGGGACUGAGACACGGCCCAGACUCCUACGGGAGGCAGCAGUGGGGAAUAUUGGACAAUGGGCGCAAGCCUGAUCCAGCAACGCCGCGUGAAUGAUGAAGGCCUUCGGGUCGUAAAGUUCUUUUAGCAGGGAAGAAAAUGACGGUACCUGCAGAAUAAGCACCGGCUAACUUCGUGCCAGCAGCCGCGGUAAUACGAAGGGUGCUAGCGUUGUUCGGAAUUACUGGGCGUAAAGCGUGCGUAGGUUGUAUGGUUAGUUAGUGGUGAAAGCCCGGGGCUUAACUCCGGAAUUGCCAUUAAAACUGCCAUGCUAGAGAGUGUUAGAGGUAAGUGGAAUUCCUAGUGUAGGAGUGAAAUCCGUAGAUAUUAGGAGGAACAUCAAUGGCGAAGGCAGCUUACUGGGUCACAUCUGACACUGAGGCACGAAAGCGUGGGUAGCAAACAGGA
rnacentral:rRNA from 1 species